rnacentral:misc_RNA from 1 species
GUAGGUGAACCUGCGGAAGGAUCAUUAACACGUAUCCACGUAUCAACACUCUGUGAACUCAAUCUCCCUGGCAUAGGAAUAGCUGCAAUGCAUAGUUAGUGGUGGGUGUCUUCGGACACAACCAUGCAUUGCUACGGGUCUCGAACCCGAAAGCUAUCUUAUGUCAGGCCAUUUUUUUUCUACCACUACCCACACACCCUUUUUCACCUACAACACAUCUUGACUGAUGUACUUAUGUAAGAGAAAUCUG